CUGCUUAACACAAGUUGAGUAGGGAAAGUUUUUCGGUGUAGGAUGAGACUAUAUAGUAUCAGCUAGUUGGUAGGGUAAUGGCUUACCAAGGCUAUGACGCUUAACUGGUCUGAGAGGAUGAACAGUCACACUGGAACUGAGACACGGUCCAGACUCCUACGGGAGGCAGCAGUAGGGAAUAUUGCGCAAUGGGGGAAACCCUGACGCAGCAACGCCGCGUGGAGGAUGACACUUUUCGGAGCGUAAACUCCUUUUCUUAGGGAAGAAUUCUGACGGUACCUAAGGAA
rnacentral:rRNA from 1 species